GCAGUCGAACGAGAACGGGUCUUAGCUUGCUAAGACUGUCAGCUAAGUGGCGGUACGGGUGAGUAAUGUAUAGCUAAUGUGCCCCUUGGAGAGGGAUAACAGUUGGAAACGACUGCUAAUACCUCAUACUCCUUCUAUCUUAAUGAUAGUUGGGAAAUGUUUUUUCGCCAAGGGAUCGGGCUAUAUGGUAUCAGCUAGUUGGUGAGGUAAUGGCUCACCAAGGCAAUGACGCCUAGCUGGUCUGAGAGGAUGAUCAGCCACACUGGAACUGAGACACGGUCCAGACUCCUACGGGAGGCAGCAGUGGGGAAUAUUGCACAAUGGGGGAAACCCUGAUGCAGCAACGCCGCGUGGAGGAUGACGCAUUUCGGUGUGUAAACUCCUUUUAUAUAGGAAGAUAAUGACGGUACUAUAUGAAUAAGCACCGGCUAACUCCGUGCCAGCAGCCGCG
rnacentral:rRNA from 1 species